CAAUAGCGUAUAUUAAAGUUGUUGCAGUUAAAAAGCUCGUAGUUGGAUUUCUGCUCAAGUCGACUGGUCCUCCCACUGGGAGCGUAUCUGGUUUGACUUGUGCAUUUUGUUGGAGGGUGUAUCUGCACUUGACUGUGUGGUGCAUUAGCCAGCGCUUUUACUUUGAGGAAAUUAGAGUGUUUCAAGCAGGCAUACGCCUUGAAUACAUUAGCAUGGAAUAAUAAUACAGGACCUUGGAUCUUUUUUUGUUGGUUUCUAGAACCAAGGUAAUGAUUAAUAGGGAUAAUUGGGGGCAUUCGUAUUCAACUGUCAGAGGUGAAAUUCUUGGAUUAGUUGAAGACGAUCUACUGCGAAAGCAUUUGCCAGGGAUGUUUUCAUUGA
rnacentral:rRNA from 1 species